rnacentral:rRNA from 1 species
GACGAACGCUGGCGGCGUGCUUAACACAUGCAAGUCGAGCGAUGAAGCUCCUUCGGGAGUGGAUUAGCGGCGGACGGGUGAGUAACACGUGGGUAACCUGCCUCAUAGAGGGGAAUAGCCUUUCGAAAGGAAGAUUAAUACCGCAUAAGAUUGUAGCUUCGCAUGAAGCAGCAAUUAAAGGAGUAAUCCGCUAUGAGAUGGACCCGCGUCGCAUUAGCUAGUUGGUGAGGUAACGGCUCACCAAGGCGACGAUGCGUAGCCGACCUGAGAGGGGAAUCGGCCGAGUUGGAACGCAUGCACGGCACAGAUGCAUGCGGGAGGGAGACGUGGGGAUUAUUGCACAAUGGGGGAAACACUGAUGCAGCAACGCCGCGUGAGUGAUGACGGUCUUCGGGUUGUAAAGCUCUGUCUUCAGGGACUAUAAUGACGGUACCUGAGGAGGAAGCCACGGGUAACUACGUGCCAGCAGCCGCCGUAA